UACCAGCACCCCGAGUGGUCGGGACGUUUAUUGGGCCUAAAGCAUCCGUAGCCGGUUCUACAAGUCUUCCGUUAAAUCCAACUGCUUAACAGGUGGGCUGCGGAAGAUACUAUAGAGCUAGGAGGCGGGAGAGGCAAGCAGUACUCGAUGGGUAGGGGUAAAAUCCGUUGAUCCAUUGAAGACCACCAGUGGCGAAGGCGGCUUGCCAGAACGCGCUCGACGGUGAGGGAUGAAAGCUGGGGGAGCAAACCGG
rnacentral:rRNA from 1 species